AUACGGAGGGUGCGAGCGUUAAUCGGAAUUACUGGGCGUAAAGCGUACGUGGGCGGUUGGUUAAGUUAGAUGUGAAAGCCCCGGGCUUAACCUGGGAACUGCAUUUAAAACUGGCGAACUAGAGUUGAGUAGAGGGGAGUGGAAUUUCAGGUGUAGCGGUGAAAUGCGUAGAGAUCUGAAGGAACACCAGUGGCGAAGGCGACUUCCUGGACUCAAACUGACGCUGAGGUACGAAAGCGUGGGUAGCAAACGGGAUUAGAUACCCUAGUAGUCC
rnacentral:rRNA from 1 species